GUCAACUUCCACCUUCCGGGGUGGCUUGAGUCUUAGCAAAGUGAGGAUCAUCAGAUUUCAGAACUGAAAGUGACCGGAGGAGCUGUCUGAUUUAACCAUCUCAUCUUACUGGUGGGGUCAAUCGGACCACAGAGGGGCCCGUGCCACAGGAAAAUGGGCAGUCUGUACUCAAAAUGCACCGAGAAUCCCAAAACAGCACCAGCAGAGCACUGAACUAAGAGC